rnacentral:rRNA from 1 species
UGCGUAGGUGGUUAGGUAAGUUAGAUGUGAAAUCCCUGGGCUCAACCUAGGAACUGCGUUUAAAACUGCUUAGCUAGAGUAUUGUAGAGGAUAGUGGAAUUUCCAGUGUAGCGGUGAAAUGCGUAGAUAUUGGAAGGAACACCAGUGGCGAAGGCGACUAUCUGGGCAAAUACUGACACUGAGGCACGAGAGCGAUGGGGAGCAAACA